GCACUGUUGAGGAGUUCCACAAUAGGACGAAACGGCCGUCAAGCUGUAU
rfam:Schistosoma rodhaini strain Burundi genome assembly, scaffold: SROB_scaffold0000130